CUUUUUUUUAAACAAAAUAAAUGAUGGGUAAUAUUAUAUCUCUAGGCUAACUGAAGUAUUGAAGCUCCCUUUAUGAGUUUCCUUAUGAAUGCAAUCCAAUAUGGCGGAAAUGGUUUUAACGUCAAAUAAAACGCACAUCAACUGUUGAGAGCAGUGGCUCAAACCAAGUCGACAAAGAAGGAAGACACGCUGUCUACACCAAACUGCAGGAAGUCUUACCGGAGUCUGCAGCACAGAUGCAGGGACAUCACGCCGCACUUUCUUGGAUUUGGCACAGUACAACUCCAAAUGCUGGAGGUCACAUCCACGCACACAACACUGGUCUACAAUGCCUUUCCCACGAGAGCGAGGACCACCGCUACGAGCUGCUCCAGGCUGUUGUGAGAUGCCAGAGGAGGUCUGGAGGAUCUGCUGGAGGAUUUUGGGCUGGCAAUCAGUCUCUUCCAUAGACAAGGCCUCGUGACUGGACUCCAGAUCCAAAGGAGUUUCUAGUGGUGUGCUGCUCUGUGAC
rnacentral:lncRNA from 1 species